ACUCAAAUGAAUUGACGGGACCCCGCACAAGCAGCGGAGCGUGUGGUUUAAUUCGAUGCUACACGAAGAACCUUACCUGGGUUUGACAUGGGGGUGGUAGGGAGCCGAAAGGUGACCGACUCUUCGGAGAGCCUCCACAGGUGCUGCAUGGCUGUCGUCAGCUCGUGCCGUGAGGUGUCGGGUUAAGUCCCGUAACGAGCGCAACCCUUGUCCACAGUUACAAGUGUCUGUGGGGACUGCCGGCGAUAAGCCGGAGGAAGGUGGGGAUGACGUCAAGUCAGCAUGGCCUUUAUGUCCAGGGCUACACACACGCUACAAUGGGCGGUACAAUGGGCAGCGAAGCCGCGAGGCAGAGCGAAUCCCAACAAAGCCGUUCGUAGUUCGGAUUGCAGGCUGCAACCCGCCUGCAUGAAGCUGGAGUUGCUAGUAACCGCGCGUCAGCCAUAGUGCGGUGAAUACGUUCCCGGGGUUUGCACACACCGCCCGU
rnacentral:rRNA from 1 species